AGACUGCCGGUGAUAAACCGGACGGAAGGUGGGGAUGACGUCAAAUCAUCAUGCCCUUAUGACCUGGGCUACACACGUGCUACAAUGGUUGGUACAACGAGUUGCGAGUCGGUGACGGCGAGCUAAUCUCUUAAAGCCAAUCUCAGUUCGGAUUGUAGGCUGCAACUCGCCUACAUGAAGUCGGAAUCGCUAGUAAUCGCGGAUCAGCACGCCGCGGUGAAUACGUUCCCGGGCCUU
rnacentral:rRNA from 1 species